GUUAUGUAAUCUGGUUUAUUUUGAAAGUAGGAGAUAAUAUUAUGGAUAGAAAUGAGAGUCGGGCUACUAUAUUUUUAUGAGUAUUGGCUUUUUUAUAUUUAUAAAUUUUCGGUCCUUAGAUUUAUUUCAUUGAUCAUUUCUACCCGUUAGAUCAUAGUAUUCAACCAACUACUCGCUCAAGGGGGUCUAUACUCAUAAUAGUAUGUAGCCCCAGCCUAGAAAUG
rnacentral:lncRNA from 1 species